UGGUGGGUAGUUUGACUGGGGCGGUCUCCUCCCAAAGCGUAACGGAGGAGCACGAAGGUGGGCUAAUCACGGUUGGACAUCGUGAGGUUAGUGCAAUGGCAUAAGCCCGCUUGACUGCGAGAAUGACGGUUCGAGCAGGUGCGAAAGCAGGUCAUAGUGAUCCGGUGGUUCUGAAUGGAAGGGCCAUCGCUCAACGGAUAAAAGGUACUCCGGGGAUAACAGGCUGAUACCGCCCAAGAGUUCAUAUCGACGGCGGUGUUUGGCACCUCGAUGUCGGCUCAUCACAUCCUGGGGCUGAAGUCGGUCCCAAGGGUAUGGCUGUUCGCCAUUUAAAGUGGUACGCGAGCUGGGUUUAGAACGUCGUGAGACAGUUCGGUCCCUAUCUGCCGUGGGCGUUGGAAGAUUGAAGGGGGCUGCUCCUAGUACGAGAGGACCGGAGUGGACGAACCUCUGGUGUUCGGGUUGUGUCGCCAGACGCAUUGCCCGGUAGCUAAGUUCGGAAUCGAUAACCGCUGAAAGCAUCUAAGCGGGAAGCGAGCCCUGAGAUGAGUCUUCCCUGAUACUUUAAGUAUCCUAAAGGGUUGUUCGAGACUAGAACGUUGAUAGGCAGGGUGUGUAAGCGUUGUGAGGCGUUGAGCUAACCUGUACUAAUUGCCCGUGAGGCUUAACCAU
rnacentral:rRNA from 1 species